AUGUUACUUUGUUUCUCUGGAAAGAACUCUUCCAUUCAGUAUUUUAUCGAGGGCAUCAAGUUACUCAACUGUACAGAGCAUGGUACAAAGCAUAUUAUCUCAGCUCUGUUACGCCGCCUGGGUGGUUUGUCUCAGAAUAUCACAAGCUCUGGGUGUUUAGAACAAUAUCCAUUGCCCAUCAACCCAACAGAGUUUCAUGAGAAACUGGAAACGCUGUUUCAUUGUUACCACAGUAAAAAGUAACACCCCGACGCCAACCUGAUUCUUCAGUCGCAAUACAACUGGCAUUCAGAUUUAUUCUGAAUUCUUUCUGUUCAUGGAAAGUCUGGUUAAAGUUGUUUGCUGGAACAUUUGAUGUUAGAUUAUAUGAAAUUGUGUUCAACUACUUUUUCACAGAAAAAUACUAUUGUUUACACUUUCCUUUUCCUCUGUGAUAGAGACUGGCCGCAUAUUUAAGUAUGCUCUGUACUUUGGGAAAAUAAUGGAGCACUGUAUAAGUUCUCAACAAAAGAAAAGUCAGCUUAAGUGCCCUGUAGGUCCCUGUACCUCAUAAAUAAUCUAUUUAAUCUGUCAGUGAGUAAAUCAGACACUAUCUCAGUAUGACAGCAGUUCUUUUGUGGAAUUUAACUUACUGAUGCUGACCUGUUUUCAAAUAUGUUCUAAUGCUACUUUCUAUUUAUAUUAUUUAUUAUUUAUUUAUUAAAGUGCUAAUGAAAAAUGUUUACCUGUUGCCGAUUAUUUUUUUUAUGUUUUCAAAUAUGCCAUUUGGUUUGAGAAAAUAAUGCUGAUUAUAGUCGUGAUUUUCUCUACACAACAAUUUUUUUUGCUUUCAUGCUGCAAUGAACACAGCUCUGCCUGAGCUCUCAUAUUCUUCUACAGCAUUCAAAUAUCCCACCAUCUCUUUAAUAUUCCUGAUCAGUUUUUUCUCCCUGAAAUCCUUUUAUCUGUUUACAAUGCUGCACCAAACAAACCAGCCAACAAACAAAAUCAUAACACUGCUGCUGACACCUUUCUAUAGAAAAUCAAUAUUCUUUGAAAACACAUGUGCAUUAGUGAAACUAAAAAGGAAGUGAGAGUGCACCACAGCUGAAACAAACUGACACUAACAGCUUCCAAACAUGCAGCCACCACAUAGAAAUGUAAAGUCAUACUAAGAACCUGAUAAAUGAAAAGGAGCUAACGGUACGGUAAAAGUGGUUACUGCUUAAACACACUGUGCUAAUCCACCACUUUCAAUUCAUGAGUAAUAUUAACACUACAUCCACUGACAGGUUUUUGUUCAUUUUUUGCAAUAAAUGUCCUUCACAAUAUUAUUUAGUGUGUAUAUUGGAAGCUUUUUUUAAACAAAUUGUUACAAAUGAUCAAAAAUGUUACAAAUUUGUUGGGUAAGCAGGUUAAGUUCCAGCUGGAAACACAAACCAGCCUAUUGGGUUGUGUCAGGACAUGAAAUACCUGCCAAAUCUAACCUACUAUUCAAACUAGGAUUUAUGAGAAUGUAAUGAGAUUAAGCUUGAUUUAUUUACACCAGAGACUAACCUGGGACUAAAGUAACUUUUUGCCGUCUCUCAGCUCUUACAACGUGGACUCUUCCAUUUUGCAGCUCUCUCUGAUAAAGCUCUCAGAUGUGGCAAGGUGGUUUUGUUCAGCUGCAUCUUGUCACAAACUUACAAAAAGUAGAGAACGCCUUUUGAUGUGGAAAGCUGCUAAAUUUAUCUUUUUUCAAUAUUUGCUCGACAAAAUUUCUUUCACACGGCAACUGGCAAAGUUUCAAAGGAAAAUUAGACUACCCUUUUUUAUUGUUGGAUAACAAAGGUUACAGUUGAAAACAAAGUCACAUUCUUAUAAUGACUUAAUUUGUUGAAAUUUGUUGAAACCCAUGCAUUCACCAACAUUAUGAAGGGAACAUAAUGGGGUAAUUGAACAGGGUGGAGCCUUAUUGCAAAAAUAAACAUCACAGCAACCAACUAAGAUCUUUCUCUCGAGCUUAAAGGUUGAUUGAAGAGGAUCAACCUGAGAACCACCUUUAACCACCAUUAAAGAGCAUACACAGUGGUCUACACUCCAGCCUCUCCUCAACAUUUUUGUUUCAGUGUUUUUAUGAUCAGAGGGCAUCAUUUACGGCGUGGCUGAUUAAUUGCUGUUGUUCCAUUUUAAGUCUUUUGGAUCUGAGUUCUGCUUGUGACACAGUUGACCACAGGUCCUUAUAAAUUGCCUUGAAUGGUGUUUCACCAUCAAGCUUUUAAUGAACAGAGUCUUAAGAAAUCACACUAAUGACUUUCACCAGAAGCACAGUACUUGAUCAGGUAGACUCCUCUUCAUCAGUUCUAACUUUCUGCUUCUUAAUUCAGAUCAAACUGAGGUUAUUGUACUCG
rnacentral:lncRNA from 1 species